UUUUCUGACUUGAGGUCCUUCACAGAAGUACUCUUUGGCCUAGAUCUCUCCACAUAUUCUCUGUACCUAGCCCGGGGACAUCGAGGAGUUUAUGAAAUUGUUUUAAGGGUAGGGUGGAGUUAGUCACCAGGCCAAGAUGCUGUGUGUGGAAAGCGACAUCCUCCUACGCGCCGGGACUGCGCCCGGAGCUGGCGCCACCGCGGGGAGGGACGGCGUUUGGCUCAGCGUCUGUGUUUGCGGUGUGAGACCCGACGCAGAUGGCUGGGCCCCCUGGAAGGGGCGAGGCCGGGAACCCCGUGCUCCAGGCCUGGCCACCCCGCCUGCCUGUAUGAACUUCAUCUCCAACUGCCUCUGCCUGGCUGCGGCCACUUUUCCAAUACGAUUCUGACAGUGAUCCCCGGUAGCCGCGCUGCGGCCUUUGAGAACUGACAGCAAAUUGGCUGGAGUCUCCAGCAAUGUCUCUAUGUGGUGGGGGCAGGGCUCCCAAUUGGAUCCCACUUGACAGUUGACUGUCCCCUGCGCUGCACACCAACUCUGAGCCCUGUCAGAAGUCAUCGAAAUCCAGGAACACCCAGUCUGCGAUCAGGAGUGGGGAGAGAAGGACGAGUGGAGUGGAGAACCUUGAGCUGCCAGUGGCGCUGUCCUUGGUCCUGACAAAGUCUUAUGCGUGAACCCGAACACUAGCCUAUGUGGACCCCACCCCCAAACUCCCCACUGUUUCCUUUGAAGGUUACUGAAUGGUUCUGGAUGAAGAACCAAUGGGCUGAAGCUGUACCUCACCAGCACUCAAUCCCAGAUUGGACUUCUCUCCUACACCAUCUCCCUUUUCUCAAAGCAACUCCCCGUCCAAUCAACGUUCCUUGAGGAAAUCAGACUGGUAUGGACUCAAAAGUUACCUGUACAGAGCUCCCCGAGAAAGAUUCCCCAGGUCCCAGGAGACGGCCUGAGCAGUCUCAUGAGAUAAAUGGACUGGAUGUGGGGGUGGGGCUCUGUGGUGACCGUAAGUGUUGACGCCCAUCCAACUAAAAGCAAUAUGGUGCACAUGCCUUUAAUUGCAGCACUGGGAGUCAGGGGGCUGAGGCAGUGGUGGGCAAAAGCAGGCAGUCUCUGUGAGUUCCAGGACAGCCUGGUCUACCAAGUAAACUCUAGAUCGACCCAGGGUAUUUAUUGAAACCCUGUCUCAAACAAACAAAUCAAACGUUUUUCCUUUGACUUGUCAUCCCAUCUGUCCUCCUCAAACAAUAGUGUUUGGGUUCCGUGGUAGAACACUUGCCCACUCAUCACAAGUUACUGGGUUCAGCCCCCAGCACUGGUGGUGGGGCGGGGAUGUUAAACCAAAAACCAAAAGCAGGUCUGGAGAGAUGGCUCAGCGGCUAAGGGAGAGCACACUGUUCUUCCAGAGGACCUGAGUCAGUACCCAGUACCCAAGUCAGGUGGCUCACAAAUACUUGGAAUUCUAUCUCCAGGGGACCCGAUGCCCACUUCUGGACUUCACUGGUACCCACACACAAAUACACACUCUCACACAUGAACACAUACACACAUACGCGUGUUCACACACUCAUACACACAGAGGCAUACAUGUAGAAGUUUGAAUACGCUUGGAUCACACUAUUAGGAGGUGUGUCCUUGUUGGAAUAGGUGUGCCCUUAUUGGAGGAAGGGUGUCACUGUGAGUGUGGGCUUAGCCAGUGUAGCAGCUGUUCAGCCGGUUGUCAACUUGACUAGAUCUGGAAUGAACUACAAUCCAGAAUUGGAAAGCUCACCUAUGAUCCUAAUCUGGAGGCUCAGAGAUACAAGUUUCUGACCUCGAUCUUGUCGAUCUUGUCGUGGAGAUCUUGAAGCAUAGUGGCUAUGAAUUCCAGAAGAUUAAGACAGGGAGAUCUCUGAGUUCAAGGUCAUCUGGAAUUAAAGGCGUGGGGGGGGGCACAUGCCUCUAAUCUGGAGACUUACAUAAGGACUUUGGAAGAAGGAAGACUGACUCACUCUUCCUUGCCUGCUUGCCUUGUGGGCCUGAGCAACUGCUAGAUCCUUGGACUUCCAUCCACAGCUGCUGCUGACCAUUGUUGGGGAGUUGGACCACAGGCUGUAAGUCAUCAACAAAUUCCCUUACUAUAUAGAGACUACCCACACGUUCUGUGACUCUAGAGAACCCUGACUAAUACAGCCAGUUUUCUCUUGUUUGUCUUUGGAACAAGAUGUUGAACUCUCAGCUUCUCCUGCACCAUACCUGCCUGGAUACUGCAAUGCUUCCUGCCUUGAUGCUAAUGCACUGAACUUGUGAGCCUGUAAGCCGGCCCCAAUUAAAUGUCGUCCUUUGAAAGAGUUGCCAUGGUCAUGGUGUCUCUUCACAGCCAUAGAAACCCUAAGACAAUAUACAUAACUAAAAAUAAAAUAAAUCUUUAAAAUAAAA